ACGCUCGACACCUACGGAAGGCAGCAGUAGGGAAUCUUCCACAAUGGACGCAAGUCUGAUGGAGCAACGCCGCGUGAGUGAAGAAGGUCUUCGGAUCGUAAAACUCUGUUGUUAGAGAAGAACACGAGUGAGAGUAACUGUUCAUUCGAUGACGGUAUCUAACCAGCAAGUCACGGCUAACUACGUGCUAGCAGCCGCGGUAAUCUGAGCGGGCUGGCAAGGC
rnacentral:rRNA from 1 species